rnacentral:misc_RNA from 1 species
UUUUUCAAAAGAAAAAAAAAAAAUAAAGAUGAUAAUCACCGUGGGUUUGGUUUGAUUUCAGAGUCGUUAAGGAGAGAACUCUAGCUAGCCUAUCAUUUUCAAUUGUAUAUUCGGAAUCAUGGCAAAAGAAAACGUUUCUGCUCUCGAUUUUGCUGAUGAUUUCUACCUUUCUUUGCUCUUCGAUGAUGAAGAACAACAGGAAGUCGUCUUUCCGUUUUCCGACGCCAAAUACGCCGAGGAGCUGCAGUUCCAGGAGGCUCUAAUGGGUUCUGUGAUCAUUUCUCACAUGAAGAGGAAUAACCCAUCAUCGGUUUUGAUGAUUGAAGCACCUCCCAGGCAAAAUCUCCUGGAAGUUGUUCAGUCGUCCCUCAGGUUCUGCGAUAUUUGUGCUGAAAAGAAAGAUAGUGAUCAAAUGUUCGAAACUGAGAGAUGUGUUCACUCUUAUUGCUCCGACUGUAUAAGCAAACAUGUGGCUACAAAGAUUCACGAUAGCGUUACAAUCAUUACCUGUCCAGGAUUGAAUUGCAAGGCUGUGCUUGAACUGGACACUUGCAGAGCUAAGCUCUCCAAGGGAGUGAUUGAUCGUUGGGAGGAAGCGCUCUGUGAGGAGCUAAUCAGUGCAUCGCCGAGGUUUUACUGCCCAUUUAAGGAUUGUUCAGCCAUGUUUGUGGCCGAUAAUGAAGGAGAAGCCAUUAGGGAAGCUGAGUGCCCCUUGUGCCAUAGAUUGUUCUGUGCUCGUUGUUAUGUCCCUUGGCAUUCUGGGGUAGAGUGUGAGGUGUUUCAGAGUCUGAAUGAGGAUGAAAGAGGAAGAGAAGAUCUGAUGUUUAUAGAAAUUGCUAAGGAUAAGAAAUGGAGUAGAUGUCCCCAUUGCAAAUUCUACGUGGAAAGAACAGAUGGCUGCCCACAUAUGAUUUGCAGGUGUAAGUUCCAGUUUUGCUAUGGCUGUGGUUCGGAAUGGACACAAAGUCAUGGUGGUUGCCAGAGAAACUAGCUUGGCUGGAGAAAGCGUGAGAGUGGUAUGCAUUUACAAUGUUAUAUAGGUACAAUAAAACUCUAGGAAGUUGCUGAAGUUGUCUCUAAGGGACAAUAUUGUGUAAAUGCUAAUAAACAUAAAAGAACAUUAUAAAGCACUUUGAGUUAAUAUAGCUUUAAAGCCUCCAAAUCCU